GAGUUUGAUCAUGGCUCAGGAUGAACGCUGGCGGCGUGCUUAACACAUGCAAGUCGAACGAACCUUCGGGUUAGUGGCGGACGGGUGAGUAACGCGUGGGAAUCUGCCCUCAGGAGGGGGAUAACGGUUGGAAACGACCGCUAAUACCCCAUAUGCCGAGAGGUGAAAUGAAUUUCGCCUGAGGAUGAGCCCGCGUCUGAUUAGCUUGUUGGUGAGGUAAUGGCUCACCAAGGCAUCGAUCAGUAGCUGGUCUGAGAGGAUGAUCAGCCACACUGGGACUGAGACACGGCCCAGACUCCUACGGGAGGCAGCAGUGGGGAAUUUUCCGCAAUGGGCGAAAGCCUGACGGAGCAACGCCGCGUGAGGGACGAAGGCCUCUGGGCUGUAAACCUCUUUUCUCAAGGAAGAAGAUAUGACGGUACUUGAGGAAUAAGCCACGGCUAAUUCCGUGCCAGCAGCCGCGGUAAUACGGGAGUGGCAAGCGUUAUCCGGAAUUAUUGGGCGUAAAGCGUCCGCAGGCGGCCCUUCAAGUCUGCUGUUAAAACGUGGAGCUUAACUCCAUCAUGGCAGUGGAAACUGAUUGGCUUGAGUAUGGUAGGGGCAGAGGGAAUUCCCGGUGUAGCGGUGAAAUGCGUAGAUAUCGGGAAGAACACCAGUGGCGAAGGCGCUCUGCUGGGCCAUUAUUGACGCUCAUGGACGAAAGCCAGGGGAGCGAAAGGGAUUAGAUACCCCUGUAGUCCUGGCCGUAAACGAUGAACACUAGGUGUCGGGGGAAUCGACCCCUUCGGUGUCGUAGCUAACGCGUUAAGUGUUCCGCCUGGGGAGUACGCACGCAAGUGUGAAACUCAAAGGAAUUGACGGGGGCCCGCACAAGCGGUGGAGUAUGUGGUUUAAUUCGAUGCAACGCGAAGAACCUUACCAGGGCUUGACAUCCUGCGAACCUUUAAGAAAUUAGAGGGUGCCUUCGGGGACGCAGUGACAGGUGGUGCAUGGCUGUCGUCAGCUCGUGUCGUGAGAUGUUGGGUUAAGUCCCGCAACGAGCGCAACCCACGUUUUUAGUUGCCAGCAUUUAGUUGGGCACUCUAGAAAGACCGCCGGUGAUAAACCGGAGGAAGGUGUGGAUGACGUCAAGUCAUCAUGCCCCUUACGUCCUGGGCUACACACGUACUACAAUGCUACGGACAAAGGGCAGCAAACUCGCGAGAGCUAGCAAAUCCCAUAAACCGUGGCUCAGUUCAGAUCGUAGGCUGCAACUCGCCUACGUGAAGUAGGAAUCGCUAGUAAUCGCAGGUCAGCAUACUGCGGUGAAUACGUUCCCGGGCCUUGUACACACCGCCCGUCACACCAUGGAAGUUGGCCAUGCCCGAAGUCGUUACUUUAACCCUUGUGGAGAAGGACGCCGAAGGUGGGGCUGAUGACUGGGGUGAAGUCGUAACAAGGUAACC
rnacentral:rRNA from 1 species